rnacentral:piRNA from 1 species
UGAGCUGGAAGCAGUCCGAUGACACCUC